GAGCAAACUUUCAUUUGGCUCCGGCUGUCAUAAGUUUAAAUGGGGUCCGGGUCCGCCGGAUGGGUGAUGGGUGGUUCGGUGUUCAAAUUGGAGUCCCCGGAAUGAAUGAAAAAUAUCAAAUUCAGAGUCGGAGCCAUAGCUAUAGCCAUAGCGUGGUUGGCGAAGCGUAGCAAAUAUUUGACCAGCCGAUCCACACACUUAACACUUAACGUGGCCAUAAACAGCACAGAAAGAAAGGGUCGGAGACGCUUGAACCAGGACGAGUAUAACAAAUGCUAAAACAUUGCACAGCGGACUGGACGGGACGGAACGGGACGGGACGGAACGGGACGCGACGGAAAGGAACAGCUUGUGCCAGAUUUGCCUUUUUAAAAAGCGCUCAGGGGCACUCCCAGCCCAUUCCCACUCUGCCCCCCUAUACUUAUACUCUCGGCACAUUUACAAAUGCGCUUUUAACUUAAAUGACAGUCCAAGGGGAAACAAGACAGCAGGCGGGACGGGGGCAAAAAAGGGGGUCCAAAGCUGAAACAGAAACAGAAGCCAGAGCUCCCCCUCUUGGCCAUGAUUCUGGUUCUCCUGCUUCUGGCAUCUUGGCUGCCACUGAGAAAAACGCAUUGCAAUUUUUUACACCCACCCUCUGCCAGCCAAGUGGGAAGUGCCAACCCCCCCUUUGGUAGUACAGCCAUUUGAUGUAAAUAUUGUAUUAGUCGGGGCCAAAGUGUUGAGUAAAUUUAUUGGCAGCCCAUAAA
rnacentral:sRNA from 1 species